AUGCCCGGCACGGUUCCCUGGCCACUGGCACCAUGGGCCUUGGUGAGGCAUUGCCACCCCUACCCCGCUCCCCCAGACCUCCCUGCUGACGGAGCAGGGAUGAUGGGCCCCGAAAGCGGGAGCCGGCGCGGGUCACCCGCGGUGACCACAUCACACGGGGUGACCACAUCGGAGGAGCAGCAGCGCAGCCCUCCGGCACUGGGGCAGGGAGCGGAACCCCUGGGAGCGGGAAGCGGCCCCAGCAGCGGUACCCCCGGCAUGGGGCCCGCAGGCUCCCCCGUCCCACGGGGGUGUCCCCUUACCUGUGGCGGCGGCGCGGAGCGGGCGGCCCCGCAGCAGCGACUGCAGGCGGGCGGCGCGGCGGUGCAGGCGGGCGGCGCGACGGGCCAGCGCCCGCAGGUGGCCCUCGAUGUCCCCCAGGAGAGCGACCGAGUGGCCGCAGAGCUCGGCCAGCUGCCGCAGCAGGGCGAGAGCCGCCAGGCUGCAGGUGUCCCGCAGAUCGGUCAGCGGCCCCGCCGGCCGGACCCGCACUGCCACGCUCCGUCGGUAGAACGGCAUGGGGCGGAUUGGCUCGGGGCGGAUCGGCUCUGUUUCCCCCGGCCCGGUUGCCCCCCGGCCCGGUUCGGUUCAGCCCAGCCAGGCACUGUUCCCCCCGUCGAGCCCCGCGGCUGCGAGGGCUGUGGUCCGGCAGCAGCGCCGGGGCUCGGAGCCGGUCUGUGGGAGGAGGAGGAGGAGGAGGAAGGGGAGGGAGGGGCGGCCCCGCUCGGGGAUGCUCGGGCCGGCGGCGGGGCACGGCGGCACUCGGGAGGGAGAGAGCGGCCCCGGCGGGAGGAGCUGCGGAGACGCUGCGGGCUGGCUGGGGCCGGAGCCCUGGAGCUGGCGCUGCUCGGGCUGGGGCACAGGAAUCCCUCGGGGCCGGCCCUUCCCUCCCGAUGCCAUUCCGAAGGACACGGACACCCUCCGGUUUGUUGUGGCAGCAGUGCCCAGGUCUCGAGGCUGGCUUAGCCAGGAGGAUUUUAAGCCAGUUGGAGAGGUGUGAACACCUUGCCAUCGAGUGUGAGCUGAGAUCCGGACUCUGGGAGCCAAGGGAUUCAUAAAACCAUCACAUAGUGCAGCAACCUCAAUAAAUGACAAAAAUCUGGUCGCUUAGCAACUUAAACU
rnacentral:lncRNA from 13 species